CUCUCUCUCUCUAUGUGAAGAAGAACAGUGAAAAUGAAGCCUGGGAGCCUUAUAGCAUCGGCAGCCAUUAACUUUGGGCUAGCUUUGAUAGUUCUCUCACUCUUCUCCAUCUUCAAGAAACGGCCUUCAAAUGCCCCCAUAUACUACGCCCGUCGUCUCUCCAAACGACACCACAUUCCUUUUGAUCAUUCUUUCACUUUCUCUCGCUUCAUCCCUUCUGUUUCUUGGAUUCCUCGGGCAUUUCGAGUCACGGAAGACGAAAUCCUCCAAAUCGGAGGUCUUGACGCUCUCAUCAUCAUCAGACUCUUCAAGUUCGGUAUCAAUUUCUUUGGGGUUUGCUCGCUUAUUGGAUUGGUGAUACUUCUCCCUAUUAAUUAUGGAGGCCAAGAUGAGCCAUCAAGGGUCUCCCUUUCCAUGGAUUCUUUUACCAUAUCUAAUGUUAUUAGAGGUUCCAACAGGCUUUGGGUGCAUUUCACAUGCUUGUGUUUUGUAUCUUUCUAUGGACUGUACCUUUUGUAUAAGGAAUAUGAUGCAAUUUUGGUUAAAAGGAUCCAACGACUUCGGGACUUAAGACAUCGACCUGAUCAAUUUACUGUUCUUGUGCGGCAAAUUCCCUUAUGUCUAGAACACAAGGGUUAUGACUGUUCCGUCGAUCACUUCUUCUCUAAAUAUUACCCUAAAAGUUAUCAUUCCCAUCAAAUGUUAUAUGAUGGAAAAGAGAUUGAAAAUCGUCUGGUAAGGUUUGAAAAAUUUUGGCAUUUGGUGCUCCUGUCAUUUUUGCUUUCCUUUCAGGAUAAGAACUUUGCCACAUUCUUCUGCCUUCUAUACUAAUCUAAUUAUUUUUUCCCCAUUAACCCCCUUUUCCAUUGUGAAUUAAUAAGUUAGUGAAUCCCUUUCUCUGAAUACAUAAACUAGCAGAUGCUGAAAAUUUUUAAUUACCAUAAGGCAAGUAAUGUUGUUCAUUUCAUUCUGUUUUUGUUUUAAUGAGUUCCACUUUGUGAUAUUUUUACAUGUAGAAACAGGCAAAAUGUGUUACAAAGAAGAUUGAGGAAUUGAGAGGGAGGUCCACAGUCAAGAAGCAUGGAAAAGAAUGCUUACUCAAUGACUCAACAACAGGAGAAGAUUUUCUGAAAAUUACCCUGCUUGAGGAAAAGGUUCAAGAAAUUUUUCAUGAGAUUCGCCAGAUACAGGGUGAACAUAUGCUGAAAGGAAAGGAGUUGCCUGUUGCCUUUGCCACUUUCAAGUCCCGAUGUGGUGCUGCAUUAGCUGCCCAAUCUCAGCAGAACUCACAUCCGCUUAUAAUGAUCACUGAAAUGGCUCCAGAGCCAAAGGACGUCUCAUGGAGGAGUCUGGCAAUUCCGCUUAAAUUUAUGCCACUUUACAAAAUUGGAAUCAUUGUUUUAGCGUCACUCCUUACGAUUUUCUUUGCAGUCCCAGUCACAGCUGUUCAAGGAAUAGCUAAAUUUGAGAAAUUGAAGAAAUGGUUCCCUCCAGCCAUGGCCAUAGAGCUAAUGUAAGGACUGUUGUUCUAAUGCUGCUUCUUUUGGGUGAAUGUGCUGGACGUCUGGACCUUAAUGUACUAGUGUUGAGAAUUCAAUUGUUCUUUCCUUAUUUUGUGAUAACACCAAAAAUAGCAAGACCAUUCUACUGAACAAUAAAUUGAGAAAUUUUUUUCAUUUAAAAAAUGAAAAUUUUGGUGAUCCUUUGAAGUUUGAUGCAUGUGGCUUUGAUAUACCAUGGAUAUUACUUUAAUAUAUUUUUAUGCUCAUUCAGAGGAGCAGCAAGCCUUUUUCAGUUCCUGUCUAUAUGUAGGUCUUAAAUCAUUGUUUUAAUUUAUAUAUCAUUAGUACAAUUAGUAGAAGCUUAUUUGAUCAUAUGAAGUCAUUUGAGGAGUUUUUCUUCUGACAUACUGGUUCCACAAUAGACCAGGAGUAAGCUCCAUCCUGACAGGUUUUCUUCCAAGUGCUGUUCUGAGAGGAUUUUUAUAUAUUGUUCCCUUUGCAAUGCUUGGCAUGGCUCAAAGAGGUGGUUCCAUCUCAAAAAGCAAGGCAGAGAUAGAAGCUUGCAAUAUGGUUUUCUAUUUUCUAGUGGGAAAUGUAUUCUUUUUGAGCUUGAUAUCAGGGUCCUUACUUGAUGAAAUUGGAGAAUAUGUCUCUCAUCCUAAGAACUAUCCUAGUCAUCUUGCUAGUGCUGUCUCUGCCCAAGCUGAUUUCUUUAUGACAUACAUCUUGACAGAUGGGCUAUCAGGAUUUUCGUUGGAGAUCCUUCAGCCUGCCUUGUUCUUAUGGGAUUCUAUAGUUUUACAUACAUGUGGCCGAGGGAAGGACGAGAAUCCUUAUCUUUAUUCACUACCCUAUUAUAGAAUCAUCCCUUCUGUCUCCCUAUCAAUACUGAUUGGCAUGGUAUAUGCAGUUGUCUCACCUUUUCUGCUGCCAUUGCUCGUUGGCUACUUCUGUCUAGGCUACAUAGUUUAUGUCAACCAGAUUGAAGAUGUAUAUGAAACCGUUUAUGAGACAUGUGGACGAUAUUGGCCGUACAUUCAUCACUAUAUAUUCAUCGCUAUAAUCCUUAUGCAAAUUACCAUGAUUGGCCUAUUUGGACUGAAGUCAAAACCAGCAGCUUCCAUAGCAACAAUUCCUCUCUUAUUGAUGACUAUAGCAUUCAAUGAGUACUGCAAGAUCCGUUUUCUUCCUACAUUUUGCCAUUACUCUAUUCAGGAUGCUAGUAAACAUGAUGAGCUAGAUCAGAAGAAUGGUCGGCUGAAAGUGAAUUAUGAGCAGGCCAGCAAUGCAUACCGCCCACCUAGUUUACAGCCAGUAACCUUAACAGUUUCUUCAUCACAAAUUUAAUCUGAUGUAUCUCUGCCAUUCAUUCUCAUUGUUUCUCUUAUUUUGAUUUUUUUGUUUCAUUUGUGUACAUUUUUAUUUCUCUUUUGAAAGUUUCUUGUAGUUUGUGGCACUUUUUGUGUUAUUACUGCUUAUCAGAAGCCUUCCUCAAAAUCCAAGGAUGCCAAGAAUAGUUUGAUUUCUGAUUACAAUCAGUCAAUUGAUGUUAUUAAUU
rnacentral:misc_RNA from 1 species